rnacentral:lncRNA from 1 species
GCCACUUCCUUUGAAACUCCCUUUUCACUACCUUCAAACUUAACCAGCUUUUCACCUGGAACAAUAUGGCAAAAUAUAAGGAGUGAUUUUCCACCAAGUCCAGAGAGGCAGGGCUACUCCUCUGUUUGUUAUAGUCAGCCCAGCAGAUCCCCCCUAAGUCCUCCUGGUCCCUUCAAAACAGGAAAAAGAGAAGGAGAAAGAAGGUGGAUCCAAUGUUCCCAUGGGGAUGGCAGGCAGGUUCCACCCACCUUAGAUCCCUCCCCCCAUACUGAAGAACCUCCCAGGCUUAUGGGGCCACAGCUAGAGCAUAAAUAGGACCCCACCUCGGCCCUCCUGCCCUAACUCCCCAGUUUUCCCAGUGGGGUCCUUGAGGGUCUGUGUAGGUUCAUCCCAACAGGCGUGCCUGAGCUCCAUGCAUGCCCCUAACCCAGAGGAGCCCAGCCUGUGUGGGCCUUGGAUCAGGACCUUGGGGAAGGUAUUCCUGAGUCCCAGGAAUCCCCUGGGGAUGAGCAGAGGCUGGGGCCUGGCUUCCAGAUGGGCUGGUCCUCUUGGACCUUCAGACUCCUUACCCCAGAAAGGACGGCCAGGACGGGGGCCAGGGCCAGAGAACACAGUCCCUCCUCACUCCAAGAGGCAGCCUCUGUCCACCGCCUCACCUUCAAAGCAGAGCAGGUGGCACCAUCACUGGUGGCCCCAGGGACUUCUCUAGGUAAGAAGAAGCACAGGCACCACUGACAACCCCAGGGCUGGGGGA